ACCCUUUAGUCAAGGACCAUGAUUAGGACAAGUAUGUUAUGUUAGAAGAGCUUUCAAGAUUGAUCUGUGACCUUACAACUUAGACUACCGAGACCCCCAGGAACAUGGUUUCAUCAAGGACACACCCAGAUGGCGUCUGAGGGAGAGCACCAGCCCCUGGGUGUGUUCAAAUGUCAGCUCUGUGCCUUGUCAGCUCCAUACACCUCUGUGGGACAGCAGUCCCCAACACCUGGUCUGUCUGGUGAAGGUCCAACUGGAACGAACGAGUAAUUUAGUUUACAUUUGCUUCUUAAAGUACCGGGCGGACUUAGUUGCCCCUGAAGUUGAUUCUGACUCCUGGCGACCCCAUGUGUACGGAGCAGAACUGCUGCA